UGGGGAAUAUUGGACAAUGGGCGAAAGCCUGAUCCAGCCAUGCCGCGUGUGUGAAGAAGGUCUUCGGAUUGUAAAGCACUUUAAGUUGGGAGGAAGGGCAUUAACCUAAUACGUUAGUGUUUUGACGUUACCGACAGAAUAAGCACCGGCUAACUCUGUGCCAGCAGCCGCGGUAAUACAGAGGGUGCAAGCGUUAAUCGGAAUUACUGGGCGUAAAGCGCGCGUAGGUGGUUUGUUAAGUUGGAUGUGAAAUCCCCGGGCUAAACCUGGGAACUGCAUUCAAAACUGACUGACUAGAGUAUGGUAGAGGGUGGUGGAAUUUCCUGUGUAGCGGUGAAAUGCGUAGAUAUAGGAAGGAACACCAGUGGAGAAGGC
rnacentral:rRNA from 1 species